CGGGAGUAACACCUGGAAACAGAUGCUAAUACCGGAUAACAACAGAUGAUGCCUAUCAACUGUUUAAAAGAUGGUUCUGCUAUCACUCUUGGAUGGACCUGCGGUGCAUUAGCUAGUUGGUAGGGUAACGGCCUACCAAGGCGAUGAUGCAUAGCCGAGUUGAGAGACUGAUCGGCCACAUUGGGACUGAGACACGGCCCAAACUCCUACGGGAGGCAGCAGAG
rnacentral:rRNA from 1 species